CAAAAACAUAGCMAUAUGUAGUAUAUGUUGUAUAUUCUGCUCAAUGAAUUUUUAAAUAGCCGCAGUACUCUGACUGUGCAAAGGUAGCAUAAUCAAUUGGCUUAUAAUUGAAGUCUUGUAUGAAUGAAUACAUGGGAAGCGACUGUAUUUAAUAUAAAGAUUAAAUUUAUUAAGUAAGGGAAAGUACUUACAUAUAAACAAAAGACGAGAAGACCCUAGAAAUUUAUAAUAUAUAGUAAACAAAAAUUUUUGUUGGGGCAACAGUAUAACAAAUAACUUAUAUUAAAUACAUGACAUAGUUAUUAGAUAGAAAAAAUUACUCUAGGGAUAACAGCAUAAUUUAUAAAAGUUUGUGACCUCGAUGUUGGAUUAGGGAUCUGAUGUUUAAAAGAUUUACAGCUAUGCUCUGUUCGAGCA
rnacentral:rRNA from 1 species